CUAUUCUGAUAUUUGGACCAAGCAGUGGGCUGCUGGAGUGAUCCUUUUAUCCAAGAUCUUCAGCUCAAGACCCCUGCACUCUAAGAUCCUGGAUUUAAUAGUCCAGAUUUGCAUAUGUUCCUGAUCGAUGUAGACAUUUAGAGGGAUUGAUUCACAUCAUUGAAUCUCAUGGUCAUGCAGCAAGUACCACAUUAAUUCUGAAUUCUCGACACCAUUUGCCAG